GUGCCCGUAGCUCAGCGGGAAAGAGCGUGGGUCUCCGAAGCCCAAGGUCGGGGGUUCGAAUCCCCCCGGGCACG
rnacentral:tRNA from 1 species